AACGCGAAGAACCUUACCAGCGUUUGACAUCCUCAUCGCGGAUUAGAGAGAUCUUUUCCUUCAGUUCGGCUGGAUGAGUGACAGGUGCUGCAUGGCUGUCGUCAGCUCGUGUCGUGAGAUGUUGGGUUAAGUCCCGCAACGAGCGCAACCCUCGUCCUUAGUUGCCAGCAUUCAGUUGGGCACUCUAAGGAAACUGCCGGUGAUAAGCCGGAGGAAGGUGGGGAUGACGUCAAGUCCUCAUGGCCCUUACACGCUGGGCUACACACGUGCUACAAUGGCGGUGACAGUGGGCAGCAAGCAGGCGACUGCAAGCUAAUCUCCAAAAGCCGUCUCAGUUCGGAUUGUUCUCUGCAACUCGAGAGCAUGAAGGCGGAAUCGCUAGUAAUCGCGGAUCAGCAUGCCGCGGUGAAUACGUUCCCAGGCCUUGUACACCCG
rnacentral:rRNA from 1 species